rnacentral:tRNA from 1 species
AGUAAAAUAAGCUAGACAUUAAGCUUCUGGGCUCAUGCCCCAUCAACGUUGGUGAAAUCCCAACUUUUACAA